rnacentral:rRNA from 1 species
CACUCUUAGCGGUGGAUCACUUGGCUCGUGGAUCGAUGAAGAACGCAGCUAGCUGCGAUAAAUAGUGCGAAUUGCAGACGCAUUGAGCACAAAAAUUUCGAAUGCACAUUGCACCAUUGGGUUAAUUCCCGAUGGUACGUCUGAUUGAGGGUCA